rnacentral:rRNA from 1 species
AGCGUAGACGGCAUGGCAAGCCAGAUGUGAAAGCCCGGGGCUCAACCCCGGGACUGCAUUUGGAACUGUCAGGCUAGAGUGUCGGAGAGGAAAGCGGAAUUCCUAGUGUAGCGGUGAAAUGCGUAGAUAUUAGGAGGAACACCAGUGGCGAAGGCGGCUUUCUGGACGAUGACUGACGUUGAGGCUGAAAGCGUGGGGAGCAAACA